UACGAAGGGGGCUAGCGUUGCUCGGAAUCACUGGGCGUAAAGCGCACGUAGGCGGAUUGUUAAGUCAGGGGUGAAAUCCUGGAGCUCAACUCCAGAACUGCCUUUGAUACUGGCAAUCUCGAGUUCGGGAGAGGUGAGUGGAACUGCGAGUGUAGAGGUGAAAUUCGUAGAUAUUCGCAAGAACACCAGUGGCGAAGGCGGCUCACUGGCCCGAUACUGACGCUGAGGUGCGAAAGCGUGGGGAGCAAACAGGGAUUAAGAAACCCGGGGUAGUCCC
rnacentral:rRNA from 1 species